AAACUCGAGAGUUUGAUCCUGGCUCAGAAUCAACGCUGGCGGCGUGCCUAACACAUGCAAGUCGAGCGAGAAAGGGAGCUUCGGUUCCCGAGUAAAGCGGCGGACGGGUGAGUAACACGUGGGUAAUCUGCCCUUGGGUGGGGAAUAACUCAGGGAAACCUGGGCUAAUUCCGCAUGACAUUCCCUAUACACAAGUAUUGGAAAUCAAAGCUGGGGACCCUUCGGGGCCUGGCGCCUGAGGAGGAGCCCGCGGCCAAUUAGCUUGUUGGUGGGGUAAUGGCCCACCAAGGCUUCGAUUGGUAGCCGGCCUGAGAGGGCGUACGGUCACACUGGGACUGAGACACGGCCCAGACUCCUACGGGAGGCAGCAGUGGGGAAUUUUUGUCAAUGGGGGAAACCCUGAACAAGCAACGCCGCGUGGAGGACGAAGACCCUCGGGUUGUAAACUCCUGUCGGAGGGGACGAAUGUGCAGGUGGUUAAUACCCAUCAGUAUUGACGGUACCCUAUGAGGAAGCCCCGGCUAACUCCGUGCCAGCAGCCGCGGUAAUACGGGGGGGGCAAGCGUUGUUCGGAAUUACUGGGCGUAAAGGGCGCGUAGGCGGACCAGACAGUCUCUCGUGAAAUCCCACGGCUCAACCGUGGAACUGCGGGAGAUACUACUGGCCUUGAGUUCGGGAGAGGAGUGUGGAAUUCCCAGUGUAGCGGUGAAAUGCGUAGAUAUUGGGAGGAACACCGGUGGCGAAGGCGGCACUCUGGACCGAUACUGACGCUGAGGCGCGAAAGCUAGGGGAGCAAACGGGAUUAGAUACCCCGGUAGUCCUAGCCGUAAACGAUG
rnacentral:rRNA from 1 species